rnacentral:tRNA from 183 species
GGCGGAUGUCAGCGGUUCGAGUCCGCUUAUCUCCA